rnacentral:rRNA from 1 species
AACGCUGGCGGCGUGCCUAAUACAUGCAAGUCGAACGGUCUUUCUAUGGAAGCUUGCUCCACUGAGAAGAUAGUGGCGGACGGGUGAGUAACACGUGAGUAACCUGCCCAUAAGAGGGGGAUAACAUCCGGAAACGGGUGCUAAUACCGCAUAGUUUUCUUGAUCGCAUGAUUGAGAAAGGAAAGACGGCCUUUGUGCUGUCGCUUAUGGAUGGACCCGCGGCGUAUUAGUUAGUUGGUGAGGUAACGGCUCACCAAGACGAUGAUACGUAGCCGACCUGAGAGGGUGAUCGGCCACAUUGGGACUGAGACACGGCCCAAACUCCUACGGGAGGCAGCAGUAGGGAAUCUUCCGCAAUGGACGAAAGUCUGACGGAGCAACGCCGCGUGAGUGAAGAAAGGUUUUCGGAUCGUAAAACUCUGUUGUCAGAGAAGAACAAGUCGGAGAGUAACUGCUCCGGCCUUGACGGUAUCUGACCAGAAAGCCACGGCUAACUACGUGCCAGCCGCUGC